UCCAUGAAAUAAGCUCCCUGGGCUAUCUAUCAAAUUAUUUUUUUAUGUAAAUUAAAUUAAUAAUAUUAAUGUAAUUUAAAUUUAUAUAAUUAAUCAUAUAUAUAAGUUAAAUAAUAUAUGUUGUUUUUUAGAUAAAGUUUAACAAAUUUAAUAAUAUUAUAUACAUCCUCAUCAAUAUUUUAAUUUUGAGAAGUAAUGUCUUUUAUAGUAAUUUAUAUAUCUAAAAUUGAUUAUAAUUAAAUCAUCUAAACAUAUUCAAUUCUAUCAAAAUUAAUUUAAAAAAAAAAAUAUUCAAAUUGAUCGUAUCAUAACAUAAUCAAUUAUAAUUAAAUUUAAUCAUGUUUAUUAAUUUUUUCAUAAUUAAUUAUAUCCAACUGAAAUUCAAACUGGUUUUGUAUUUCAAAAUUUUGUUAAUUGACCUACAUAAUGUAGUGUUUCACAGCUAGCUGUAGGUUGAAAGUAUGCUUGAGUAAAAUUUAGUUUGCACAAGUAAAUUUUUUGCGUGAGCUGGAAUUUGAUUGGUGCAGAUUGAAUGGAGUGACAGAGGUGGCUUCUUGGGAAAUAUUGAUUCUGCUCGUGUAUCAAUCCCUACCACAUUAAAGCAUGAUGAUUCUAAGAAAUGGCUGUUACGUUUAUCGAACACAGCUAGAAGAGACUGAACAAUAAUGGAAAGGCUGGUAAGGGCUCUGGUAGGGGCAAAAGGAAGGAAGGGACGUCUGAAGAGCGAAGAGUAUAGUUGUAUAGCUCUUUCCUUUCCUCUUUUUGGGUAUUGUAAUGAAUAUUGUUAAUAUAUAAUGCCAACUUAGGAACAUAAUAUUGUUGUGAUUAUCCCUUGAUGUGAAUUUGUGAUAAGGGUGUGUGUGUCUUGUUCUAAGGUUGAUGUUGUGAGUUAAGUAUGUAUGCUUGGCCAAGUUACACUUACAUGUGAUAUAUUUAAAAUGAUUGAUGUGCCAA